rnacentral:rRNA from 1 species
GACGAACGCUGGCGGCGUGCCUAACACAUGCAAGUCGAACGGAAAGGCCCGGCUUUUGCUGCGUGCCCGAGUGCCGAAGGCGUGAGUAACACGCGUGUAACCUGCCCUUAACUUUGGGAUAACCUCACGAAACUGGGGCUAAUUCCCGCUAGUAGUUCCUGCUUCAAGGUGUUCGUUGGCUUGUUUCGGCGGUUGGGUAUGGACUCGCGGCUUAUCAGCUUCUUGGUGGGGUAGUGGCUUACCAAGGCCUUGACGGGUAGCCGGCCUGGGAGGGGUGCCGGCCACGUUAGGACUGAGAUGCGACCCAGACUCGUACGGGAGGGAGCGGUGGGGAAUAUUGCACAAUGGGAGGAAGCCUGAUGCAGCAGCGCAGCGUGCGGGAUGACGGCAUUCGGGUUGUAAACCGCUUUCGCCUGUGACGAGGAGUGAGUGACGGUAAUGGGUAAAGAAGCACCGGCUAACUACGUG